UACGGGGGGGGCAAGCGUUGUUCGGAAUUACUGGGCGUAAAGGGUCUGUAGGUGGCCAAUUAAGUCAGACGUGAAAUCCCUCAGCUUAACUGGGGAACUGCGUCUGAGACUGGAUGGCUCGAGUGCAGGAGAGGAAUGCGGAAUUCCAGGUGUAGCGGUGAAAUGCGUAGAUAUCUGGAGGAAUACCGGUGGCGAAGGCGGCAUCCUGGACCGACAUUGACGCUGAUGAGCGAAAGCUAGGGGAGCAAACGGG
rnacentral:rRNA from 1 species